UGGGUGGUUAGCUCAGUGGUAGAGCGUCUGCCUUACAAGCAGAUGGUCACUGGUUCGAAUCCAGUACCGCCCAA
rnacentral:tRNA from 1 species